CCCUAUUCACCUCCGCCUCCUACAUCCUCACCACCUCCUUCACCUAUCCUCGUCUGUCAUGCCAUCAACUGCCUCACUGGACCUUCUUGCCCAGCACCGCAGAGUCCAGCUCUUCCCGCCCAUCUCUCCAGGAGCAGACCCAGAUUCAGCACCCUCUCUUCCCCUGGCCAGGGAGAUUGGACAAUGGGUGGUGGUGCCUGGGAAGGCGGAGGUGGGCCAGACAUACUGGCGAUGCUCCAAGGUGGCGGGGCAGAGCUGGCGGUGCAUAUGUAUGGCUUGGCGGCUGUCAGGAGCAAGCUGUGCCUCAUGGAUGUUUGGCGUAAUCGGAGCGUGCGCCAAGCCUCUCGCUUGAUUUGUAAGCUUUGUGUAGAGAAACGUUCUGCCCAUCGCCUGUUUGCUGAAAUGCCCACGGUGUUGGCCUCUUUGGUAACACCCUUCAGCCCAUGGAUUAGCACCGUGUGGGUUCUUUAUUCAUCUUUUUCUACUUGUAUCAGUUUUGGGGCCUAAUUUCCAGGUUUUUACAACCUAUUCUUUGCAUUGUCCCUACUAAGGUUGCAUGACUUAAACCACUUCUUUCACUUUUUGUUGUUUCUAAGAGAACUAGAGAAGUGAUGUAGGACUACGAUAUCAGGCUAUGAGCAUGUGGAAGAAAUGGCCAAACACCAAACAGAAAAGGAAAUAUAGAAGAAUUCCAAUAUUUUGUUUCCUGAUGCAUGCACAUUCGGCGCCUUUUAGGAUUCGAAGUGAAUGGUCAUGCUAUGUGCACCAUUAAGUUUUAUUUAUCCUGUUAAGGAUAAUGAGCCAGCUUUUACUUUAGAUGUUUGACGCAUUAACUACGAAUCUUAUUUCUUUUCUCAGCAACACAAAAUAUCAUCAUUCUUCUGUAUAUUGGAUUUUAGCUUCCAAGAGAUACAUGCAUGCUGGCAAUUUAAAGUUUCAAACCUAAUUAGGAGCAUGAAUUUGCACAAGGCUGCUCAGCUAUGUAUGACAUGCAUUGGUAGCUAAAACUUGCAUGUAUGCAGUAUUCUUUUCUUACAGUUUCAACUACCAAAUGCGCUUGAUAGCAGAAGACGGGACCUAAUGAAAGAACUGAGCACUCACUGAAAGUAUUUUCAUAAGCAUUCAAAUUUCUGCAAUCUGAUAAGCUUUUGGUCUUUUGAGCUAUAUGCAACACGAAUUAGUAACUACAUCCUGCAAGCGGGCAAAACAAAUUUACCUCUAAAAUUACAAAGUGCAUCUGAUAGCAGAGCAUGGGACCUAAUGGAAGAACUGAGCAAUAAAUGGUUUGGUAUUAGCAUUCAUAUUUCUGCAACUAGGAUAGGUUUUUAGUCGGUUCAGUUUUCUAAUUUCAAAGCUAUUUUGCCUCACUAGAAUAAGAUGGAAGAAGAACUGAGCACUCACUCAAAUUAUUUUGGUAUUGGUAUUCAGAUUUAUGCACCUCUGAUAAGCAUUUAUUUAGUGGGUUUACUUUUAAUUUGCUAGAAUAAGAGUUUGUUUUACCCAACGAGAUUGAAAGAGACAUGGACAAUCUCCACAUUUUUCAUCCGACAACAAGAUUGAAGACGGAGUAAUGUCUUACAUGGUAUUCUCUGAAUUACUGCUCGCCUUCAACUUCAGAGGUUGUGCAUAAGUCCAUAUGCCAGGAAUGCGGGUUUGGGCUUCAAUACCGAAAUAUAAUGGUUUUUUAGGUUCCAAAACUAUCCCUUCAUCGUUUUUUUCCUAAUGUGUGAUGUUUACUCUGGAUUGAUGGGAUCCUUAUCAGCUAUUAGAGCGAUAAACAUCCCAUUCUCUCACUGAGCUCUGUUUACUGCUAGUCCUAAAUGUACUAUGUACUCAAGGAACAUUUAGAGCGAUAAACAUCCCAUUCUCUCACUGAGCUCUGUUUACUGCUAGUCCUAAAUGUACUAUAUACUCAAGGAACAUUUAUGUAUGCCAUUAAAAGGUAAGUUUGCUUUGUUGCCAAUGGCCACCGUCACUUAUGCUCUA